rnacentral:rRNA from 1 species
AUGCAGGAUAAAUACACUGCGUUGAUGGCGAACAGGACCUGGACGCUCGUGCCCCAGCCCAGGGGUGCCAACAUUGUCACGGGAAAAUGGCUCUUCAGGCAUAAGCUCAAAGCUGAUGGCACACUGGAUCGCUACAAGGAGAGAUGGGUCGUCCGCGGGUUCUCGCAAUGCCCUGGUGUGGACUUUGAUGAGACAUUCUCGCCAGUGGUCAAAGCAGCCACCAUCUGUGUUGUUCCCACCAUCGCCGCCGCGCGCGACUGGCCUGUGCAUCAAAUGGACAUGAACAAUGCGUUCCUGCAUGGCCAGCUUGCCGAGCGCGUGUACUGCCAGCAACCGGCGGGGUUCGUCGACAAGCUCCACCCCGACCAUGUCUGCCACCUCGACAAGUCGCUUUACGGACUCAAGCAGGCCCCUCGCGCCUGGUUCGCGCGGUUU